rnacentral:rRNA from 1 species
GUGAGGAAUAUUGGUCAAUGGGCGGGAGCCUGAACCAGCCAAGUCGCGUGAAGGAAGAAGGAUCUAUGGUUCGUAAACUUCUUUUGCAGGGGAAUAAAGUGCAGGACGUGUCCUGUUUUGUAUGUACCCUGAGAAUAAGGAUCGGCUAACUCCGUGCCAGCAGCCGCGGUAAUACGGAGGAUCCGAGCGUUAUCCGGAUUUAUUGGGUUUAAAGGGUGCUUAGGUGGUUUGAUAAGUCAGCGGUGAAAGUUUGCAGCUUAACUGUAAAAAUGCCGUUGAAACUGUCGGACUUGAGUGUAAAUGAGGUAGGCGGAAUGCGUGGUGUAGCGGUGAAAUGCAUAGAUAUCACGCAGAACUCCGAUUGCGAAGGCAGCUUACUAAGCUACAACUGACACUGAAGCACGAAAGCGUGGGGAUCAAACAGGAUUAGAAACCCUAGUAGUCC